ensembl:lncRNA ZNF542P zinc finger protein 542, pseudogene
AUUAUUAAAAUUACUCUUUGUGUGAAUGGUUCUAUCCCAGAGUAGGCCACUGGGGCAUUGAAAAAAGCCCAGUUACAUUUUUAGGAACCAGAGCUGCACGCUAAACUGUUUUCUUUUGACAGUGAAAUCUGUCGUUUUUGGAGUUUGUUAGGAACAUGGUUGAAAAUGGGUGGCAGUGGGUUCGAGAAUCUCGUCUUUGAAGUUUUCUUCCUUCUCCUUAGCUCUGCAUUUCCAGGACCUGGUCACUAUUCAGGACACGGUUCCAGCGCAGUGCGCGUUAGCCAUGUCUCAGGGAUGAGUGACAUUCCAAGAUGUGGCCAUUGACUUCUCCAAGGAAGAGUGGGGAUUCCUGAACCCUGCUCAGAGAGAUUUGUACACAACUGUGAUGCUGGAGAAUUAUCAGAACCUGGUCUGGCUGGGACUUUCCAUUUCUAAAUCUGUGAUUUCACUGUUGGAGAAAAGGAAACUGCCUUGGAUAAUGGCAAAAGAAGAGAUAAGAGGCCCAUUGCCAGGAUAUUUCAAGGUGUCAGAGAUGACCAUCUCCCA